rnacentral:miRNA from 12 species
AGGCAUGAUUCAAAGCUUCCUAAAAUCAAUAUGGAUCUUCCUAUUGACUUCAGUGGGCUUUGAAUCA